rnacentral:rRNA from 1 species
ACGUACACUCCUGCGGGAGGCAGCAGUAGGGAAUCUUCGGCAAUGGGGGCAACCCUGACCGAGCAACGCCGCGUGAGUGAAGAAGGUUUUCGGAUCGUAAAGCUCUGUUGUAAGUCAAGAACGAGUGUGAGAGUGGAAAGUUCACACUGUGACGGUAGCUUACCAGAAAGGGACGGCUAACUACGUGCCAGCAGCCGCGGUAAUACGUAGGUCCCGAGCGUUGUCCGGAUUUAUUGGGCGUAAAGCGAGCGCAGGCGGUUUGAUAAGUCUGAAGUUAAAGGCUGUGGCUCAACCAUAGUUCGCUUUGGAAACUGUCAAACUUGAGUGCAGAAGGGGAGAGUGGAAUUCCAUGUGUAGCGGUGAAAUGCGUAGAUAUAUGGAGGAACACCGGUGGCGAAAGCGGCUCUCUGGUCUGUAACUGACGCUGAGGCUCGAAAGCGUGGGGAGCGAACAGGAUUAGAAACCCCUGUAGUCC